rnacentral:rRNA from 1 species
UGGGGAAUAUUGCACAAUGGGCGAAAGCCUGAUGCAGCAACGCCGCGUGAAGGAAGAAGGUUUUCGGAUCGUAAACUUCUAUCGAUGGGGACGAACAAAUGACGGUACCCAAGUAAGAAGCCCCGGCUAACUACGUGCCAGCAGCCGCGGUAAUACGUAGGGGGCAAGCGUUAUCCGGAAUCACUGGGUGUAAAGGGUGAGUAGGCGGUCAUACAAGUCAUAUGUGAAACCUCGGGGCUUAACCCCGAGCGUGCAUAAGAAACUGUAAGACUAGAGUACAGGAGAGGUAAGUGGAAUUCUUAGUGUAGCGGUGAAAUGCGUAGAUAUUAAGAAGAACACCAGUGGCGAAGGCGGCUUACUGGACUGAAACUGACGCUGAGUCACGAAAGCGUGGGGAGCAAACA